rnacentral:hammerhead_ribozyme from 1 species
GUACUGAUGAAGAGUCCCAAAAUGAGACGAAACAGCCGUCUAGUAC